rnacentral:rRNA from 1 species
AUUGAACGCUGGCGGCAGGCCUAACACAUGCAAGUCGAGCGAGCGGCGGACGGGUGAGUAAUGUAUGGGGACUGCCCGAUAGAGGGGGAUAACUACUGGAAACGGUGGCUAAUAACGCAUACUAUCGGAUAACCCAUAGGGGAUUAGCUAGUAGGUGGGGUAAAGGCUCACCUAGGCGACGAUCUCUCGCUGGUCUGAGAGGAUGAUCAGCCACACUGGACCGGAGCCACGGCCCAGACUCCUAAGGAGGCCGCAGUGGGGAAUAUUGCCCAAUGGGCGCAAGCCUGAUGCAGCCAUGCCGCGUGGAUGAAGAAGGCCGUAGGGUUGUAAAGUACUUUCAGCGGGGAGGCGUUACCCGCAGAAGAAGCACCGGCUAACUCCGUGCCAGCAGCCGCGGUAAUUC